rnacentral:rRNA from 1 species
UGCGUAGGGGGCAAGCGUUGUCCGGAUUUAUUGGGCGUAAAGAGCGUGUAGGCGGCCAGGUAGGUCUGCUGUGAAACUCGAGGCUUAACCUCGAGCUGUCGGCGGAAACCAUCUGGCUAGAGUCCGGAAGAGGAGAAUGGAAUUCCCGGUGUAGCGGUGAAAUGCGUAGAUAUCGGAAGGAACAUCAGUGGCGAAAGCGACUUCCUGGACCAAUACUGACGCUCAUGUGCGAAAGCGUGGGAGC